rnacentral:rRNA from 1 species
AGACAGCAGUAGCCACGGGAAAACGAAGGGGGCUAGCGUUGCUCGGAAUCACUGGGCGUAAAGGGCGCGUAGGCGGACACUUAAGUCGGGGGUGAAAGCCCAGGGCUCAACCCUGGAAUUGCCUUCGAUACUGGGAGUCUUGAGUUCGGAAGAGGUUGGUGGAACUGCGAGUGUAGAGGUGAAAUUCGUAGAUAUUCGCAAGAACACCAGUGGCGAAGGCGGCCAACUGGUCCGAUACUGACGCUGAGGCACGAAAGCGUGGGGAGCAAACAGGAUUAGAUACCCCAGUAGUCCCUGUCUCUUAUAC